AUGGCCGCGGCCAUGAGACCCUCCUCCUCCCCCUACCCUCUCCCGCCUCCCCCGACCUGCUCGUCCCGCCUCCCCCAGCUCCGCUCCUUCGUCGGCCUCCGGUGGUCUGCCCCCCGCGUCCAGGUCAGGAGGCAAUUAGACGCGGUUGCAGGAAUUGGCAGUGGUGCGCGUGGAUGCGGUGGACGAUUCAGAGCGCCCGCUUCCAGUGCGUCCCAGCCUUGUUAUAGCUCCAUCGUCAUUAGAAACGACAAUUCUCAGAAUGCUGAUUUUCCACGUAACUACUCCAAAAGGGAGAAGAAACCAUUUCCUAUACCAGUACUGGAGUUAAGGCGCCGAGCAAGACAGAGGAUGAAGGAAGCUGAAGGGAAGCCUAGGGGGCCGCCGCCACCUCCGAAAAAUGGAUUGCUGGUCCAGAGACUAAUACCAGAGGCAUACAGAGUGUACAACGCAAGAAUUUUGCUGAUCAACAACUUGAAGAGGCUGAUGAAAGUAGUACCAGUGAAAGGCUGCAAAUAUUGCAGUGAGAUACAUGUUGGAUCUGUUGGACACCCUUUCAGAACAUGCCGAGGAAUGUCUUCUGAUAAACGUAAGGGAGAACAUGACUGGGGAAGUACUUUUGUUGAAGCUGUUUUCUUGCCAGUUGAAGCUUACCACCUAGAGGACCGUCUAGGCCCGCGUAUCCCUCAUGACCAGAGGUUUGAGGUGCCCCGCAUUCCUGCUCUCGUGGAGCUUUGCAUCCAAGCUGGUCUCGACCUCCCUGAGUACCCCACAAAGCGCCGAAGAAAGCCAAUUGUUAAGAUCGGAAGGAAAGAGUUUGUCGAUGCAAAUGAAGAUGACCUGCCUGACCCAGAGCCUGACAAAUUUAAGGAGCCAAUUCUCGAAGAAGUACCCGACGAUGAGAUUACCCCUCCAUCGAGCCCAGAGGAGACAGCUGCUCUUGCCGAGGAAACACUCGAAGUGUGGGAGACACUCCGGAACGGUGCCUUGAGGCUCAUGAAGAGGUAUUCAGUGAGGGUGUGCGGAUACUGUCCUGAGGUGCACAUUGGAGCGAGUGGUCAUAAAGCGCGCAACUGUGGAGCCUUCAAGCACCAGCAGAGGAAUGGACAGCAUGGGUGGCAGGCGGCGGUGCUCGAUGACCUGAUACCCCCUAGAUACGUCUGGCACAUGCCGGAAUCUGGGGAGUUGCAGAAGGAGCUCAAGAUCUUCUAUGGGCAGGCGCCGGCUGUCGUCGAGAUAUGCAUUCAGGGCGGCGCAAAAGUGCCGGAGAAGUACAAAGCCACAAUGAGGCUAGAUAUAGGUAUUCCCUCCAGUUUGAAAGAGGCUGAAAUGGUCGUCUGA
rnacentral:rRNA from 1 species